GGGAGGCACGUUCAUCCCAAACCAUUUGGGAUGGAUGAGAUGAAUCACCGCAAGCGCCGAAGCCAAACCCCCUUUCUCAAAAGCGCCGCGUUGAGGCGCUGGAAUACUCGGUGCUGUCCAUUCCCUGCAGCAAUGAAGGAGCCUCCGGAUCGGCUGUAGAGCUCGCCGCAGCCGAGCGCUCGAAAGCGUCGGUUCCUGCUGAAGAAGUGCCCUUUCCUCGACGAGUCGAGUCAGACGGGGGCCGAGGCGGUUGCCGAUCCUCCGCGACGGGCCGGGUCCCCUGUUAGCGAAGGGAGAGGAGGCGCUUCCACGCGCAGAAACGUCUCCUUUCUUUCACGGGCUGCGCGCGAAAGGCCUCCAUGUACCUGGCAAAAUUCCUGCUCUUCCGUGGCUCCGUGAUCCCCUGCUUUGAGAUGUUUUGCAUAGUUUGAAUGUACGAAUAACCAGCUACUCGUUGCUGAGCUGGUUACCUUGUCCUACUCCAAAGCCGUUCGUCUGAGACGGGACAUAUCUGAAGAGCGCGGAAAGGGCCUGCCUGGCUCGUUCUUUGGGAUUUUUUUCCCCCCCCGAUGUGGGCAGAAUAAAAUCGAAGUCACGUUUGACGAGGGCAGAGACGUUUCCUCGUCCGGACGCGGAAGCUACAGCUGUAUUUUUCUAGCGCCUCGUCCCCUUGCAGGAGCAUCGGGAACGCCACCCCCGUUACGAGCACGGGACCGUUGCACCUCUCGAAUCGUCCCACCAAGCCGCGAGCCCUUUCGGCGGGUUAAGGAGAAGAGUCUCGGCACGGUCCCCACCCCCCGCGGAAGUGGCUCCCGAAACCCGGUUCCCCUGCUCAAGCCGAAGGGCUCCAACCUAAUUCUCCUGCCAGCCGGCGGUUCCCGAGCGCAGUCUCUUUUCUGGCAGCGGUUGCUAUAAUUGUCUGAACUGUGUGAAAUCUCUGGGAAUGAUUUUUACGUUUUGUUGUGGGGGUUUUUUUUUGUUGUUGUUUUAAUAAUAUUUAAUUUUAUGCAAUGUGUUUCAAACCGGUCGAGGUCUGCGCAACCUUCUCCCUUUUGGGCGCAACGCGUUUUCCAAUGGGACGGCGUCCGUCGGUACGUUAUUCCUUGCCAAACGUUACUCCUUUUAGAGCGGUCACCUUGCCGGUUUGAAGCUCCGAACGGUUUGUUUUCCGCCGCGGUGAAACGCACCUUGCUUUGAAGGAUCACAAUUUUGAUAUUUCUUUGUACUUUUUUUUCCCUUGUGUGGUGAAGUCAAUAAACGGAUAGAAAAAAACA
rnacentral:lncRNA from 1 species